UACGUAGGGGGCGAGCGUUGUCCGGAUUUACUGGGCGUAAAGCGCGUGUAGGCGGCCGGAUAAGUCGGGUGUGAAAGCCCGGGGCUCAACCCCGGGAUGCCGCCCGAGACUGCUCGGCUUGAGGACGGAAGAGGGGCGUGGAAUUCCUGGUGUAGCGGUGAAAUGCGUAGAGAUCAGGAGGAACACCCGUGGCGAAGGCGGCUCUCUGGAACGCAACUGACGCUGAGACGCGAAAGCGUGGGGAGCAAACAGG
rnacentral:rRNA from 1 species